CCAAAGCAUGCAAGUCGAACGGCAGCGCGGGAGCAAUCCUGGCGGCGAGUGGCGAACGGGUGAGUAAUACAUCGGAACGUGCCCAAUCGUGGGGGAUAACGCAGCGAAAGCUGUGCUAAUACCGCAUACGAUCUACGGAUGAAAGCAGGGGAUCGCAAGACCUUGCGCGAAUGGAGCGGCCGAUGGCAGAUUAGGUAGUUGGUGAGGUAAAGGCUCACCAAGCCUUCGAUCUGUAGCUGGUCUGAGAGGACGACCAGCCACACUGGGACUGAGACACGGCCCAGACUCCUACGGGAGGCAGCAGUGGGGAAUUUUGGACAAUGGGCGAAAGCCUGAUCCAGCCAUGCCGCGUGCAGGAUGAAGGCCUUCGGGUUGUAAACUGCUUUUGUACGGAACGAAACGGCCUUUUCUAAUAAAGAGGGCUAAUGACGGUACCGUAAGAAUAAGCACCGGCUAACUACGUGCCAGCAGCCGCGGUAAUACGUAGGGUGCAAGCGUUAAUCGGAAUUACUGGGCGUAAAGCGUGCGCAGGCGGUUAUGUAAGACAGUUGUGAAAUCCCCGGGCUCAACCUGGGAACUGCAUCUGUGACUGCAUAGCUAGAGUACGGAAAAGGGGGAAUGGAAAUUCCGCGGUGUAGCAGUGAAAUGCGUAGAUUUGCGGAGGAACCCCGAA
rnacentral:rRNA from 1 species